CGACCCCAGGUCAGGCGGGGUAACCCGCUGAAUUUAAGCAUAUCAAUAAGCGGAGGA
rnacentral:rRNA from 1 species